rnacentral:lncRNA from 1 species
CUUAAUUUUAUUAGAAGUUGUCAAAAAUUAAAGAAGAGAAGGAAUUAAAUUUUUGAGUUACAUUCUUGAAACUAAUAAACUCAAUAAAAAAAAAUUCAUUGUGGUUGAAGAAUGGAAACUAGAUUCAAGUUGUGUUGAAAGUUUAGAAUACAAUUAGGUUGUUUCAACUUGUUUUAAGAAAAGUUUUCAUGGCAGUUAGCUAUAGUUACAUGUAGUUGCUAUUAUUGUUUCGGGAUUUCUAUGAAGUAGUGUUAUUAAAUGGGAGUGCUUCGUCACUUAAAGUGAGAAACAAAGAGAAUUCUAUAUUGCUUUUUUGCAAUGAGGCGAGGCUAUGGUGAAAAGGCGAGAGCUUCAAUCCCUGAAGUAAGUCAAAGAUCGUUUCUCUGCUACAACAAGGUUGGCAGUUAGUUCCUUUUUGAGAUUUCAUAAAAAUAUUUCGUGGCUUCUUUCCAAACAUUUACUUUUGUUUCACUUCUCUUGUUGUGACAUUCUUUCUCUGUUUUUGUGUUGUGACCUUGCUGCUACAGUUUUUUUAAACUUGUAGUCUGUCAUUUACUCAAUUUUUUUAAUCUAUUCUUCUCGAUGGAGUGGUUGGAAAGAACCUGUGACCUACGUUACAUUCUUGAGACUAUAAGUGAGUGUUAAAAUUCAAUAAAGUACUGUGAACUGAGUGUUAGAAGAAAUUGGUUGUAAGGUUUAAAAUUCAAUAAAAAGUUAAUUAUAGUUUAAGAAAGAAAAUUCUUUUGAAUUAGAGAUUUAGAAUUAACUCAGUUGCUCAGACUUGUUUCAUGAAAAGUUUAUAUGGUUUAUUAGCUCAUCCCCUGCUUUCUUUGUCUUUAGAUGAUCUGUAUAUCAUUGAUUUUACAUUUUUCAAUUGAGAUAACUCUUGUUGAUGCCUUGCCAGCCUUGAAUUUCAUCCCAUAUUCAUCUCUUGAUACUAUACAAGGAUACCCCUGAAGUGUAGUUAGUAUUAUUAUAGGUUCUGUUUGUAUAGUUGAGAUCAUGUUAGUUGGUUGUCUGAUUACUGAAACUAUUCCUUAUUCACCUCAUCCCCUACAUUCGAUGAUUUGUAUACCAUUGAUUCUGCAUUUUUCAAUUGAGAUAACUCAUGUUGAUAAAUUUCCAUCCCUCGAGUUUUAUCCCGAAUUCAUCAGCAUUGUUAUAUUAUGGGCAAGAUAUAUUAGUUGUUAUUGAUACAAAGAAUCAACUAAGAAGCAAAAUAUAGUUUAAGAAUACAUACAAUUAACCUUGGAUAUAAGUAGAUGGUGCAUGUAGUUAAAUCAUGCUUCUAUAAUUACAUCGUCAAGAAUGCUCCUCUAUACUAUAAUUGCACACACUUACUUCUUUGAUUUCUUGGGGCACAUUUAGAAAAGAGCAUCAUUCAUAGUUAAAGGAGGAUAGGAAGUUAGCCUUUUACAUUAGUUUUAGAAAAUUUCGAGUAUUUUCCGUGACCUGAGAGAAUGAAGGUUUACUCGUAUCCCUUGAAUUCAUGUUCUAUCUCAUACCACAUCCAAUGAUGUGAAGUAGAUAGCUGCAAGAAAUUUAAAAAUUAGUCAUUUGUUUCUGCAAUUGUUCAAGAAAAACCUUUGAUUGGAAAAACAAGAUCACCAAGCAAAACACAUAACAAACUCCUAGGAUACUUCCAUCUGGUUGCAUAUAGAAGUACCAAUUCACAUUCUGUUAGUUCCUUCUCUAGUCAAAGAGCAUCCCCAAAAGAAUGGUUUUCAUUCACCUUCCUCACCCUGCAAAGGGAUCCACUUUUCAUUUUUUCAUGUCGAACAAACUAUUUUUUCAAGGUUCGAUGGUCUCACCUGUCAUAGUUCUUUAGUUAUGUCUCAACUCGAGCUAAACUUAUUCCUGAUUGCUCAAUUUGCUAGCUUAUAGGCAUUUGGUUUUCUGUACAUCUAAUCUCUAUGUUGUGAGAUACCUGCUAACUUCUUCAAGCUAUUGCAACUCUGUUACUUGUCUAACAAAACAAAGAACUGCUGCAACGGAUCUGUACAUUAUGAAAUUCCUAAUGUAUCUAUAGUAGAUGUGUUAAGAUGUUGAAGCUCACUUGUAGUGAUUUCCCAGUUCCCAGAAAGCCUUUGAAGAACUUCAUAAAUUCUUAUUGUAUAUGUAGUGGAUCUGUUAAUUGGUCUCCAAGCUCACUACUGAUAUGUACAUCAUUAAAUUACUAAUGUAUAUAUAGUAAUUUUUUAACAUGUCUCCAAGCUCACUUCUAGUGAUUUUCUAGUUUCUAGAAAGACUUUGAAGAACUUCAGAAAUUCCUAUUGUAUCUGUAGUGGAUCUAUAAACAUGUCUCCAAACUCACUACUGAUUUUGUAUACCUUGUUUUUGGCCUUCCCUACUUUCAUAAAGACAUGUAUGAAUUUGGUAUUAGAAUUUUCAUAGGAGAUUUAAAUGGCUAUGAAUCUUUGAGUUAUAUCACAUGGUUAUGAUAUAUGAUAUAACUCCUAGCUCGUGAUGUUUUUAUCCAAACACAUUUCAUCUUUGACGCAUUUAUUUUAUUAUUUCAGGUCAUACACUCUUAUAUUUGAAAUUUUUGUUGAUGGAAUAUUCCAAUAUGACGUUCAAUUGUGGAAAUUCUUUGAAGACAUUGUUUUUAUUGGAUUGGUUAUGUAGUGAUAUUAGUUAUUUUUUUCAAAUAAUAUAAGUUUAUUUUUGAAGUUGUGAUACUAAAGUUGUUUGGACUAUUACUUUCUUUUGUUUGAUUAGAUUUUAUCAUAUAUAUUAUGUUUUAUGAAUUAAUAUUUUUUUAGCAUUUGAUAAACUUGUUGCCUG